CAAACUUACACUUCUCAACAGGAUGGAGAAUGUAUAAUUUAUGAGCUAGUGAAGUAUCUUUAAUUAAACCAGUAUUUUCUAAAUUUUGACUUAAUUUAAUUUUAAUCUAACAGAAAGAAGCAAUCUGAGUCCAGCCAAGGUUUUCCUUAAAUACCAUCCUUGUUAUCUGGGAGGCUUCAAAUCAAUUGUGGAAGUCCUGGGCCCCAUUUAGAGCUCAGAGGAGACAGCAGCAUUUUGCAAGUGCUGGGAGAAGCCCCCCCCCACACCUGUGCAUUGUCCUCGUUCCCUGCCCAGCCGCGGUGGGCGACGUUUUCGAGCGAGAUCUAUGGCAGUUCAGUCCCCAAAUCCUCAAGGAGAGCUCAUCAGCCUCGAGCCGAGAGAAAAUGCCACCUUAAAACUCAAUACUGUUUCCCUUGAAGCCUGACGGCUGAGUCUAACCAGCCGUCUGCACCGUGCCUAAUUCCCGGGGAGGCUCUCGUCGCUGCGAGCCCUGCGGCGGGCUGCGCCGUGCAGCCUUCUGCUCCCCACAGGACCCGCCACCCCAGCGGUUACACAGCCAAGAGGAAUACGGAGACACGGGCUCGUGCAAAAUGGGCAACCGCGACACGCUGAGAAGAUGCGAACGCCUGCACGCCGGCCCCAAAUAACCAAUGUACCCAGCCCUGGGUUUUCAGGCUUCAGCUUUUCACUGAGUAGGAGGUCUUGAUUCUGGGACCUGCCACCCAGCUGGCAUAACGAACAGGCAAAAUGCCACUGCCCAAACCAGAAGGAUGCUGUUUACCGUCGCUACCCACUUCUCUGCUGCUGACAGACAGGACCCAGACAUCAGAAAGGCUGGACGAGGCUGCUCUCCUGUUGGAGCAGAGAGAAGUAAUCAGUCAAAUCACUGCGGCACAGAGAGGGAUGCUGCCCCAUCUCCCGUCAGGCAGCAAAUGACUCAUUGUGUAACAACUUCAGUAAAGGGGUAUUUUUUUUUCUCUUUUUUUUCCUCUUCCACUUUCAGCAGGGAAACAGAGAUGAAUUUUUCAAGAGGCCACCAAGGCUUUUGUUUGGGAGCUUUGCCUCCCGGGUCUCCUAAGGCCACUGAGAAAGUCAUCACUUGAAUAAAUGUCAUCAGCAGUCACUCUGGUGCGGCUGGAGACCAAAAGCAUUGCUGCCUCUUCAAGAGGCGUAGACAUGGUGAGCAGCUGGUGAGUUGUUAUUCACUAGCCUGAUUUAAACCAUGUGUGAACCGAGCAGUGCUGGAUCCUGCAGGAAUAAGUCAACCCUGGAUGCUCACCACCUCCGAUCACCCAGCCCCUUGUAUCCCCGUUGUCCGUGCCAACCAUGGCGGUAGCGUACAGCAAGGACAUCACCACCAUGCAGCCCCCCAAAACACUGCUGCCUGCAAGAGCAUUCUCCCAACAAGCAGAAACAAAUAGAAAAGUGCUUUCAUACUUUCUGCAUCAUUUCCACGUGAGUGACGAGCAGUAAGCACCACGUUUGCUGAAAGUAAGUUGGCCACUUCAGCUGAGUUUUGCCCACUGCCAUGCUUCAUCAGAUGCCAUUGCAAAGGUCUGCGCUACACGAGGCAGAGUUUGCCUGUCCCACUGUGUGCCCUUCCUCACCAGUUCAGAAAGCAGAUGAGAAAUAACUAAGCAAAGAAUUAAGCUUGAAUGAGUGGAAGUUAGCGAAACAUGAGCCAUGCCUUGCUGGCCCUUCGAUAAAGGAAAUCCAACAGUUCUCCUCCUCCGGGAUUUCAGUGAAUCCCCUGCCUUCGUGCUCUGAAUAUCUAACAGUAUAAGCCUUGCUGGAGAAGAUGGGGAUUAAUUGAACAUCUCGGAAAUGGGUGGGGAACUGGCUAAUAGGGCCCAGUAAUGGUGAAAGGAGAGGUUUUUCAAGGACUGGGCUGAAGCUUACUUUGAUCACUAUCUAUCUUCAUUAAGGACCUCAGCAGAGGAAUAUGAGUGUUUGCUGAUGGUACCUCGUGAAGAGGAUGGCACAAACUCACAAGGAGCUUUGGGACAUUGUGGUGAAAGGAUGCGGAAGACCCUGAGCGCACAGGAGAUCGAAACCCAGCUGGUACAGUGUGGUAGGGGGCACGCUAUUGUCCCCCAAAAGCCCCACGGCAAGAGGGAGCACGCUCAGCUCCUCACACGUGGUGCGCUAUCCUGCAGCCCUGCAGCGAGGCGCUGGGCUUCCUAGUGCCCUGCUCCAGCCCUGUGCCUGGAGGCAGCCGGAGCUGCAUGUUGGAUGCCGUCAGCUGCAUAAAACUGGGAUAUAAUUGAGCGAUGCUGGGGCUAUGCAUUAGUGGACAACCGUUGCUUGUGCAGGGUACACCCCUUUGUGGUGCACCCGGUGCUCUGGACUCUCCUGCAGAAAUGCUGUAUUUUAGCGUGUAGGAAGGUACAUACAGGAGACUAAACUGGCCGAUGGGAACAUCGCUCUUGGGAAAAGCAUGUGCUGCUCAGCCCUGAAAGGUCUCUGGGGAAAAGCAGCAGUGCUGGUGGCAUCACACCCGGCUCAGCAUCCCUUGUUCACACCUACUGGGGAAACCCGUCACAACUGUGCUCUGGGUUUUCUUGCUACGCUUCUCCUUGCUGUCACCCAUCUCUCUGUAUGCCUGAUUUCUGACUAAUGUAAAUACCCACCCCCUUCUUUAGCAUAAUGAAUACUAAUUCCUUAAUAUGUGUUAUUUUCUACUGUAUCUCCAUUUCCCUGCUAUCCGUCUUAAAAGCACCAACAAUUGCUAUCACCGUUUGUCUGCUGUGUGUAUAUAAUUAGAACAGUUGGCUCAGGUAAUUACUUUUUGCUUCCUUCAGUUCCUUCCUCUGCUUUGCACUAGUCUGUCUUGUUGGGGUUUUUUCUUCAUUUCAGGCUCUUUGGAAGAAGUUUUCAAAGCAAAGCAGGGUGCGUGGCUUUUAACUCUACCGCCCAUUGAAUUGGAGGUCACCAGCUGCUAAACCCUCUAAAACCUCUGAGUUUGCUAAAAACUCCAGAGCAGCCAACUCUUUCUCAUUCUCCAUUUCUUAUCCCUGAGGCCGUAAGUGGAACUUGGUAAAUGAUAUUUCUGCAAGUGAAUUGCCCGGUUGAGAAAAAUCAUCCGGCUGAUUUUAUUCCCCCAGGGCUUCCAAGCAACCCGCACUGCUGGUGCUCAGCUCACACCCAGCAUGCCCAGGGAAGGGACAUGCAGGAGCUGGAUCUGGCCAGCCCCUCGCCUUCUGCUGACGUGCCCUACCUGCAUGGAAAUCAGCAGCCAGCAGCAGACCAUGAAGCCAUCCUCGCUCCAGCAGCAGGGAAAGGAAAACUCCCAGUGGUUGAGGGAUUCAUGCGGAGACACAAAGCAAAUCCACACUGGAGACCUGGGAAAUUCCUACUCUCCUCCGCUGCCAUGUCAGAGUUUGUCUUGAAAGAUUUCCUUUCACAGUUAUUGUUCACGUUGGAAGAGAAAAAAGUGGGAGGAAUGAUCUGACUAAAGCAAAGUGUUCCAGGUUGCACUGUCUCUGGCUACUCCGACCUCAGUCAUCCCGCAAGAACAUUUCUGUUGUUACUGCCUUGAAGGCCUUGGGUGAUUUAAUGCCCGUGGCUACAGUUCGUCAUUGGGAUGGGACAGAUCUGUGAACUAACGACCCUUCCUUGCCCUCCAGGAUCAUGACAGCACAAAGCCAGAUUUAUUUGGGAUGCCGGGAACUGCCGGUCCUUCACCCGCCUGGGCGCAGCACUUGCUAUUUGCCGCUUGCCUUAAGGAGUGGGUCUGCAACCAGCUUGGUCUCCUCCCCGUGUUUCAGCUCUGAGCAUCAUUAGAGGACACAGCAAGGAAGUCUGCUCUUUCCAGCCAAAGCAAUGAUCACCUGUGACUGAAAAACACAUGUCCAAAAGGAAGGGGAAAGCACAGGGGGAUGUGCCUGGAGGCAACCCAGGACCAAGGGGAGCAGCUGAAGGCAGGCCAGGGACUCUUGCUGCUCGGCCCCUUGUCUCCACAGCGCUGCUGGUCGGGUUUACCUCAAGGCCCUUCCAGCACCUACCAUCUCCCCGUGAGCAGAGACAUAGUCGCCAGCUCCCAGAUGCCUAAGCAGCAGGUUUUCGAGCUGCUCGAGGAGGGGAAUAUCUUGAAGAAACCGGGCAGUGGCAGCAAAAAGCGAGGGUCCAAGGACAACUUGCCCAGGAGUCCCAGCUGGAGAAGGUGCCAGCGGGUUGGUGCCCAUCCUGCAGCGAGACUCUUAGCCCUGGGGGCCGGGACGAUGUCACCAGCAGAUCGAACAGCAUCCAAUGACUUUGCCACUUUAAGUGGAAUUUUUAUUUUCUUGGAGUCACCUUCUAAAAAAUGGGGUUGGGAGAAAAAAGGGUGGGGUGCAGGGGCGAGUAGAAGAGGGUGCUGGAGGGAGCAGUGGAGAAAAUCUUCAUCCUGAAAUGCCAAGCCAAACAUCCCCCCUGCCCCACCAAAUCUUCCCCCACCAAAUCUUCUUUUAUUUUUUUUUUUUUUUUUUUUUCCCCCAAGAAGGAGAAUUUUAUUUUCCAGCCAGCUCUACUCAUGAGUGAUUGUUCAGAGCUCUGCUAAUGGGCUAUGCCAAGCUGUGGUAACCCUACAGAGCUAUUGGCAGGAGAGGUGGCAAGUUGGAGAGGACUACAAGGGAACUCUGCAUGAUAUUUUUUGAUGAGCUGAUUAUUCAGAAAUUUCACAAGAGCUGAAAUACAUCACUCUGUUCUGAAACUCACAGCCCUGCCAACACACAGGACAGCUUACAUGAGCAGCAGCGUUUUCUCCUCCACAGUGCUGCUGGCCUGUACGUUAGGAACCAGAUGCAGGAAUCGGACAAGGCUUUUCAGCAGCCGUCGACCGCAGUGACAGCAAGAGAUGGGGAGUGGAUAGGAGGACACAGAAAGCUGAGACAGAAAUUAUUUACUUUCAUGGCUGUCACUAUGUGUGUAUUUGGGCUUGAAAGUUUUUCAUUAGCUCCAUGGGUACUGGGGCAUUAUGAUUUUUCUUGCUUUAGAGCUAGGGUGUGAGAUCAUCCCCAGAUCCCACAUGUAUUCAGGUAUUUUUAUUUCAGGGGGUGCUCAGUCCCCAGUCACGUUUCAGGGUGCUGUCACAAGCCAGGAGCUGGCCUUGACUCCCACCAUCGCAGCCAAGAGCCUCCGUCUUAGAUGUCAUCCCGAGUCUGCAGCCAGGUCAGGCUCCCACAGAGACCAAACGGUCAUUUUCCC